GGCUCAGGAUGAACGCUAGCUACAGGCUUAACACAUGCAAGUCGAGGGGCAGCGGGAUUGAAGCUUGCUUCAAUUGCCGGCGACCGGCGCACGGGUGAGUAACGCGUAUCCAACCUUCCGUACACUCAGGGAUAGCCUUUCGAAAGAAAGAUUAAUACCUGAUGGUAUGAUGAGAUUGCAUGAUAGCAUCAUUAAAGAUUUAUCGGUGUACGAUGGGGAUGCGUUCCAUUAGGUAGUAGGCGGGGUAACGGCCCACCUAGCCUACGAUGGAUAGGGGUUCUGAGAGGAAGGCCCCCCACAUUGGAACUGAGACACGGUCCAAACUCCUACGGGAGGCAGCAGUGAGGAAUAUUGGUCAAUGGACGAGAGUCUGAACCAGCCAAGUAGCGUGAAGGAUGAAGGUCUUACGGAUUGUAAACUUCUUUUAUAAGGGAAUAAACCCUCCCACGUGUGGGAGCUUGUAUGUACCUUAUGAAUAAGCAUCGGCUAACUCCGUG
rnacentral:rRNA from 1 species